GCCCACAUAGCUCAGGCGGUAGAGCACUUCCUUGGUAAGGAAGAGGUCAUCGGUUCAAGUCCGGUUGUGGGCUCCA
rnacentral:tRNA from 3 species